rnacentral:rRNA from 1 species
UACAGAGGGGGCAAGCGUUGUUCGGAAUUACUGGGCGUAAAGGGCGCGUAGGCGGCCUUCUAAGUCGAACGUGAAAUCCCCGGGCUCAACCCGGGAACUGCGUCCGAUACUGGAAGGCUUGAAUUCGGGAGAGGGAUGUGGAAUUCCAGGUGUAGCGGUGAAAUGCGUAGAUAUCUGGAGGAACACCGGUGGCGAAGGCGGCAUCCUGGACCGAUAUUGACGCUGAUGCGCGAAAGCCAGGGGAGCAAACGGG